AAAAAGGAUUCUAUUGAUGAUAUUUCUGUGAGAAGUGAAGAGUUGCAGACUAAGGAACCUCAUGAUAUAAAAAAUGAUGCUACAAACACAGUGGUUGCAUCUGAUGUUGGUGGGGGUAAUAAGAUGACUUCAGACUCAAGAACCAUGCCUGUUGGGACUGAUGAUUCGAGUACAGAGAAACAGGAAUCUCAAGGAUGCUCUGGUUAUGAUUCUCAAAAGGAUUCUUUUGAUAAUAUUUCUGUGGGAAGUGAAGAGUCGCCUGCUAAAGAACCUCAAGAUGUAAAAAACGGUACUACGAAUGAAGUGGUUUCAUCUGAUGUUGAUGGUACAACAAAUGAAGUGAUUUCAUCUGAUGUUGAUGGUACUACGAAUGAAGUGGUUUCAUCUGAUGUUGGUGGGGGUAAUAGGAUGACUUCAGACAUCAGAACUGUGCCUGUUGAGACUGAUGACUUGAGUACAGAGAAACAGGAAUCUCAAGGAUGCUCUAGCUAUGAUUCUCCAAAGGAUUCUUUUGAUACUAUUUCUGUGAGAAGUGAAGAGUUGCAGGCUAAGGAACCUCAGGAUAUAAAAGAUGAUAAUACGAAUGAUGUGGUUUCACCUGAUGUUGAUGGGGGUAAUAGGAUGACUUCAGAUUUGAGAACUUUGCCUGUUGAGACUGAUGACUUGAAUGGAGAGAAACAGGACACUGAAGGAUGCUCUG
rnacentral:lncRNA from 1 species